rnacentral:rRNA from 1 species
AGAGUUUGAUCCUGGCUCAGAUUGAACGCUAGCGGCAGGCUUAAUACAUGCAAGUCGAGGGGCAGCACGGUUAGCAAUAACUGGUGGCCGACGGCGCACGGGUGCGUAACACGUAUACAAUCUACCUUAAACAGGGGGAUAGCCUUUCGAAAGAGAGAUUAAUACCCCGUAAUAAAUUGAACGGCAUCGUUUGAUUUUGAAAGCUCCGGCGGUUUGAGAUGAGUAUGCGUCUGAUUAGCUAGUUGGUGAGGUAACGGCUCACCAAGGCGACGAUCAGUAGGGGACCUGAGAGGACUAACCCCCCACACUGGUACUGAGACACGGACCAGACUCCUACGGGAGGCAGCAGUAAGGAAUAUUUGGUCAAUGGAGGCAACUCUGAACCAGCCAUGCCGCGUGCAGGAUGACGGCCCUAUGGGUUGUAAACUGCUUUUAUACAAGAGAAAACCCUGGUACGUGUACCAAGUUGAUAGUAUUGUAAGAAUAAGCAUCGGCUAACUUCGUG